UAUAACUUGAACGCCAGACUUUGGGUGCAAAGUGAUAAGUUCGAAAUACAAAAACGGGUUGACGCCACAAGGGUUACUUGAUAAGUCUAACCAGUCCUUGGAGAACAAUGAGAGUUGAAAACAAACUCACAAAGUAAACAAAUUUCAUAUAAGUUUUAAAAGUAUAUUGUCUAACCCCAAAACAAUUACAAAGCAAACUAUUUAUAGCUAAAUUCCUAGGCUAGCCGAAUGGACACUUGAGCAGCUAAAAAGUCAGCUUAUUUUCAAAGCAAAUGAAUUGAAAAUUUCAUGUAGCUUCCUAGAACGUCCCUUGAAGCUUUCUUGAAGAUUCCCAGCUUUGGAGACGUCAAUGGAUAGCCAUUUGAUGUCUUCUAAUAGCCUUGAAUUAAUGAGGUGAUGGUUGAGCUGAAAUGGCUGAAUAGAAUUGUUUAGAUUGGCCUAAAUUCGUCCAACUUGUGUGAAAGCUCUUAUGGAUGCUUGGGGAGCUCAAAGGCCAACUUGGGGAAGAGAAAUGGGCUGCCAAAUAAAUGUGAGGAGUCAUAGCUUUUUAAUCUCCACGAAGAGGCACAUUCCCUCACAUGGACGGCACAUUUAUGGCAUUCGAGAAGAACAAAAAUGGCUCAUGGAAAAGAGGAAUUAGCAACUCUUCAUGGAUCCCUUGCUGUGCACGAAAAAAAUAAAUCAGCAGCUCAUUAAGUGGACGUUCCUUGCAUGUGGAACAUCACAUUUAAUUCAUGGCUUUGCUGCACAAUAAAUCAGCAAGCAGCUUCUUUAAUUUCGUCCAUUAAAUGGCCACAUGAAAAAGCACAAGCAGCUCCUUAAAUGCUUCCAGCAUCCAUUGAAUGGCCAUCCAUAAUUGCUUUUGCUGGACAUUAAUUCCAGCAAUUUUAAUUUCAGCAACAACCACUUCUUUUAAUGCUGUCCAUGUACCUGCAUGCAACAACCAUUAAUUCAUGUUAAGACAACAUUAAAUGGUUAACUAGACAUAUUUAAUUCGGCAGCCACAAUUAACUUCAACUAGACACCAUUUAAGACAUCAUUAAAUUCGGUUGUAGCAAAACAAAUUAAAUGAUGUAAUGACAAUUAAAUUCAGCUGGACACCUUAAAAACAUACAUUAAAUUCGUCCAAACAUGUAGCAGCAGCAUUAAUUUCGUCCAGACAUAUUUAUAACAUGCAGUGGCAGCAUUAAAUUCGUCAUAAUAAAUAGAUGUAAUAGCCUAGACAUAUUUAUGCUAUGUAUGAAAAUAGGACACAUUAAAAAAAACAUAAAAAUAAAACAUAUUUAAAACACCUAAUUAAAAUGUCCAAUUUUAAUAAAUUUAAUACUAACACUUAGUUGUGCUGGAAUAAAUAAAUAAACUAACUUAUUCAAUUAACUUAGUUGUGCUCGGCAAUCUACGCACAUCCUCCAUGAACCAUCUUUUUUAGGCACCAACAGAACGGGAACCGCACAUGGACUUAAACUCUCCUGUAUAUAGCCUUUUUCCAUUAAUUCUGCCACUUGUCGUUGCAACUCUUUAGUUUCCUCUGGGUUGCUUCGAUAAGCUGGUCGAUUUGGAAUUGUAGCUCCGGGAAUAAAGUCUAUUUGGUGUUCAAUACCUCAAAAAGGAGGCAAUCCACUUGGCACAUCUUUCGGGAAAACGUCUUUGAAUUCCUGAAGCAAAGAAACAAUAGACAAAGGUAAAGAAUUAUCAAGUUCAUUAGCAUCAAAUAAGCAUUCCUUGUACAUAAGUACAAGUACGGGUUGAUGCAACAACAAUGAUUUUCUUAUCUCUUUUUCUCUCGCAAAUACGCUCAUUUUACCACUUUCAAUUUCUUUUUGACUUUCUUGUUCCUCUCGUACUUUUACCUCCACUCCCUCAACUUUUUCUUUCUUUUUUUCAUUUUUCUUGUCUCUCUCUUUUUCAAUCUUUUCCUUCAACUUCAAUUGAUCUUGGUACACUUGCUUUGGAGUCAAUGGCGCUAAAGUUACAUUCUUGCCUCGAUGCUUGAAUGUAUAGCGAUUUGUAUAACCAUCAUAGAUCACGCGCCUAUCAAACUGCCAUGGAUGUCCCAAAAGUAGAUGUCCCGCAUGCAUAGGAACUACAUCGCACACCACUUCAUCUUGGUACUUUCCAAUAGAAAAUGCCACCACAGCUUGUUUUGUUACUUUCAGCUCACCUCCAUCAUUUAGCCAUUGCAACUUGUAUGGAGUUGGAUGUUUAGUUGUAGCCAAACCUAGCUUUUCCACCAACAUAAUACUAGCUACAUUAGUACAGCUACCACCAUCAAUGAUCAUACUACAUACCUUGCCUUGAAUGUGGCACCGAGUGUGAAAAAUAUUCUCCCUUUGUUGAUCAGUUUCAACACUUUGAAUACUGAGGCUACGCUUCACCACAAGAAUUUCUCCUUCAACGGGUAACUCUAAAUCUUCAUCAUCGGAUGGCAUUUCAGGUUCAUUUUCAUCCUCUUCCUCCGACUCAACUUCUCCAUCAGCUCUUAUCACCAUAAUUCGUCGAUUGGGACAUUGACUAGCUAUGUGCCCUCGGCCUUGACACUUGAAACAUCUUAUGUCUCUCGUGCGAUUUGGCGCUUGCUCAUUUUUAUUUCGACUUGUCUCUCCAAUGGGUUGAUUUGAUUUAACUGCUACAGUCGGCUCUUUUGUUCUAACAGGGGGUUUGUUGACUCCUUGAUUCCAUUUGUUGGUUGAAGAAUUGGCAUAGGGUCUACUAACUCCUUUUUGCUUAAGUUGCUUUUCAACCUUAAUCGCCAUGUGAACCAUGUCCAUCACUUCAACAUAGUGUUGUAGUUCAACUAUGUUGGCAAUGUCACGGUUUAAACCCGCAAGGAACCUAGCCAUGGUUGCCUCUCGAUCCUCCUCGAUUUCAGCUCGAAUCAUCGCUAUCUCCAUCUCCUUAUAAUAAUCUUCAACACUUCUAUUUCCUUGAGUAAGGUUUUGAAGUCGUUGAUAAAGAUCUCGAUGGUAGUAUGAUGGAAUAAAUCUUUUCCGCAUGACUGAUUUCAUUUCUCCCCAAGUAGAGAUGGGUCUUUCACCAUUUCGUCGUCAACUAGUUACAAGCUGGUCCCACCACACUAUGGCAUAAUCAGAAAACUCAAUUGCCGCGAGUUUCACCUUUUUACUCUCCGAAUAGUUGUGGCAAUCAAAAACAAGCUCAAUCUUCUUUUCCCACUCCAAAUAAGCUUCAGGGUCAUUCUUACCUUGGAAUGGUGGAAUUGUCAUCUUGAUAUUCUUAAGAUUGUCAUCUGGUCGUUCACGAUCUCUAGGACCUCGUUGUCGUUGACGGCCUCGACGUCAUACACUUUAGGCAGAUGAGUGAUCACUUUCUUGUCCACUUGCUUCAUAAGGAUCUUGAAUUGGACGUUCUCACUCUUGUCUUGCAUCUUCUGGAGUCAUCUCACGUUGUUCUCGUCUCUCGACUCGAUAUAAUCGAUCUUCAAUUGGUUCAAGUUUUCUAUUAAAUAAUCACUCCAUCUCUCGCAUAAUUGCUUGAAGGGUAAGAUCUGGCACUCCUCCUCCAACAUUUCUUACGGGACGGAACCCUCCUUCCACAUUUUGAUUUCUUUCCGGACUUCGUGACAUAUUUUUUUUUAAAAUGAACUCACAACAAAGAAUCUCACUAUCCACUCACAAAGAAAUCUCACUUCCUUGGCUUUUAUACUCUCGAAUAAACUCACCACUCUCUUGCCUCUUUCCACUCACUCCUCCUCUCUAAGUUCUUAGGAAUUAUUUAAACUUAAAAAGCAGUUGUUGUGGGUCAGCUUACAACCUUGAUGAUUGGGCUUGGUAAGAAUAUUGUAGGACAAAGGAAAGUAGGCUUGAAUCAAGAAAUGAAAGGUUGGAUGUGGCGAAAUAGUAGAAGGUAGUAAUAACUAUAAUUUGGGCAGCAAACAACAACAAAAUUUCAAAACUAGCUUUUUUUUCUUUUUCACGAAUUUUUUUUUCACGAAUUUUUUUUUCAACUUGAUAUCCAAUCUCUUGAGUUUGAAUGGAAACCAAAAAAUUUUUUUUUGAAAUUUUUUUUGAAGAAACUAUUAUACCGUAUUGCCGACAAUGUCGUUUCUUACUCCAAAUUCGCUAGCUCUGAUACCAAUUUGAUACGAACUCGUCUCGUGAUGUUUUGAGUCGUAUGUGUUGCCCAAUCGUGAAUUGAGUAAGGAUGGAUUCGUUUCGGUUUUAAAAUGAAACAAAAUAGAGAUAAUGGCUUCAAACAAAGGUAAUAAACAAAAUAAAGAGGAAACAAUAACAAAUUAAUUGGCUAAGACCGAAAAUGAACCAACAAUAACAAAUUGUUGACCCGAAUCUCAAAAUGGUCUUUAGGUGUUUUCGGUUAAAGGAAACAGGAAAGGAACCUUGACCCACUAUCAACUAUGAUAGGAACCAAAGGUAUAUUGAAUGCCACACCAAAGGUGAUAAGUUCAGCAACAAAGAAAAGAUGGAUGCCACAAGCUAUGCUUGAUAAGUCAAAUCAAUUCCGAAAGAACAAAGAGAAUUGGAUAGCUCACAAUUCAAAUAUUUCAUCUAUAUUCAGCAAAAAGUUGUUCCCUCUAUGGCUGAUUACAUCUAUUUAUAAUGCUAGAACAAGGUAACCGAAUGGUCAAAAACAUCCACUUAAUGUGCCAUAAAAAACUGAUGUCUUUUCUUAUUCUUUGAACCAAAUAACUCCUUCCAUAAAAUCACUUUAAUUCAGCUGAUUUGAAUGUCUUUAAUGGCUUAGAAAAUGACUCUUGAGUUGUCCUUGGCUAGUUGAAUAGACACCAUCUCUUACCAGCUCCUUAAUGACAUUCAAAGGCUUGAUUAAUUUCUCUUAAAAGCUCCAAAAACGGCUGGAAGUGGAAGAGUUGCUGCUGAAUUUUAAAGGGCAUAAAAUACUCUUUAAAAACUCCUUUUAAUGAUCUUUAAGCUCCUUUUUUUAACAGCCCCUUUAAUUGUAACUCAAAAGAACUUGAACAGCCACUUAUUAAAUGUGUAACAGCCUUGAAUUGUAACCACUAUAAGCUAAAAAGUCACCUGCAAUAAACACAUUAAAAUGAGUUUAUUAAACACAUUAAAACACUUAUUAAUCAUAACACAUAUUAAACUUACUUAAAUAAAUGAACUAAAACAUAUAUGCAAUAAUUAUUCCAGCAACUAGUUUAAUUAAAGAAGCAUAAUUUAAAGAACUUAAUUUAUGCAUCAAUAAAUAAUCCUAGGAACUAGAUCAAUUAAGAAGCAUCUUAUUUAAUAAAGUUCAAUAACUAACUCAUGUAUUAAAACUUUAAGAUAAGUUAAAUUAAUUGAUCAGCAACUUAUUUAUUAAACUAAAACAAGUUAAUUAAAAGAAACAAAUUCAGCUUGCAAUAAAUUGCAAGUAACGCCUUUUGAACGGUUUGAAGCACGACUAUCAAAUCCAGCCACUCCCUCUUCCCAAGCUCGUUCCACAUAGCUUGCUAUUGCAUUUCGAAAUCUCUUAGCUCGUGAUUGAGUUAUUGGUCCUCGUGGCAGCUCAAUGGAUUCGGUAGUAAUUUCCCGGGCUAAGGUUGCAUCAGUAGAUCCCUUACAUGGCUUACCUUUAAGCACUUGUGGACUAGGGUCAUCUACGAUCUUACUUUCUCGACUAAUCAAAAUCGUUUCUCCUUAGAAAAGUAUUGAAGUUGAAAUUGAUCGAUGGGAUUUCGAGAAACCUGAAAAGUAGAAACAAAACAAGGAAAAUUCAUAGGAUGGUUAGUAACAACACUCCUUUCUUUUUCACUUUCAUCCUUUUCGUUUAUUUCUUUUUCCAACUCAUUUUCAAAUCCUCUUUCUUUUACCAUAUCACUCAUUUCUUUUGUACUCUCGUUUCUUCCUUCAAUCUCACUCUCUUUUUCGGUUUCCUUUUCUUUUUCGCACUCGUUUUUAUUCUCAAUCUCAUUUUCAAUUUUCUUUUCUAUCUCCCACUCAUCUUCUUUUUCUUUCAUUUCUUUUUCAUGUUCAUUUUCUCGCUCGCGCUCUUUUUCUUUUUCUUUUUCACAUGCUAUUUCAAUUCCAUUACAAAAGUAGAAAUCAUCAAAAUGAGAAGCCUUUCGUUGAGAAUAAGAAAAGGAUUCUUCAUACAAAUGGCAAUCUUCUCUUUAUGAUAGAUCUUUCGUAGUCGAGUACUUUGACACUCUUGAAACACGUGCACCUCUUCGUAAAUAAUCCUUUGUAGAUGAAUAAAUUGAGGCACUUGUAGAGACACGUUUACCUUUUCGUUUAUCAUCUCAGAAGGACUCAAACUUGGAGUUUGCUUCUCUUGGUCUCGAACGCCUUGUUGAAUAGAAGUCUUGAUAAGAGUCUCUUGUCGAGUAGUUUCGUCGGGAUGAUCUUAACUCCGUUUCUCGACUUGGUAGAUUUUGUUUUCGUCGGGCCUUUUCCUCCACUCGGUCCAAACGAUAAUGCAAUUUAUCAAAUUUUAAUUUUACCAUUCUACGCAUUUCUUGCAUCAAAUAUUGGAAUUCUGAUUCGAAAAAUUCUUCUUGAGACAUGAUUUAAUUGCUCACCACAAAUGUGACAGCCCAAAAUUGACCCUAGUCGGGAAGUGGUUUCGGGACCACAAAACCGAGUCAUAAAAAUAAUUAAUUUCCAUAUUCUAUGCUUAUUAUGUGUGUACAUGAGUAUGUGGAAGUUUCAUUCUCCAAUUUUGCCAAUUGCAUGAGAAAUUAUUAAAUAGGGAUCGAUAUGAGACAUGGUGAAAAUAUGAUAGGCUAAUUUAAAAUGGUCUAUUAAUGCAUGUUAUGAAAAUGAUGGGUUUGCAUGUCAAAUUACCUAAAAUUUGAGCUAGUGAUUGGCCAUGCUAUGGGUGGAAACAUGUUGGGAACAUGUUGGCUUAGUGAGGUAUGUUAGGAAAAAAUAAAAUAAGGAGUAUGGGUAAUAAAGAAAUGAAAACAAAAAAAAAUGUGUGGUUGUUUCCCCCCCAUUGCCGUGAGCUAAAGAAAGGAAAAGAAAAAUUUUGUUCAUCCUUUUUCAUCCUCUUUUGACCGAAAAUUCAAAGGGAGGAGGAAGGAGUUCUUGCUUCAUGUUUGGUUUGGAAGAGAAUUAGGAGGAAGUUUGGCCAUGCAUGUAACUAGAUUGAGGUAUGUUUGAUAUUAUUCUUUGAGAUUCAUGUAUAUUCUAAGUUGUAAGUUUGAAAUCUACCUAGCUAUGGUUCAAACUUUGUUAAAUGAUGGAGAUGAUAUUCGGCCAUGAAUGUUACAUUCUUGGUUGGUAUUUUGAUGUCUUUGGUGAUAAGGUAUGGAGAUGGUUGACUUUGAGUUGUUAUUAAGGAGGUGCUGAAUGUGGUCCUUGAAGGGCCUUGAGGAACAAUAUAUGUGGUUUGGGUUACAACAUUCGGCCAUGGUAGUUUGAGGAUUAAGGAUUUUAUUUCUUGUUAAAAUUGGAUGAAUCUUAGUGUGUGAGUGUUUGAACUAACUAAGGAUCAAAUAGAUGCAUGGGUACAAAGUAGGAAGAAUCGGCUACUAUGGUUGAUACUAAUGCCGAAUGUGAAAAUGUUAUAUUAAAUAAUGUAUGUGAUUUGUGUUAAUAAUAUGAAAAAAAUAUAUAUUUAGAUGUAUUGUAAGUGAUUAAGUAUUAAACCAAAAGUUGCUAAAAUUGCCAUUUCUUUAGCCGAAUAUGUGUUUGAUCAAUGAAGAAUUUGUUGGAAAAUAUAGGUGAACUUGGUAAGAGUACUCGGCUUAGUGUAUAAAUGAUAUAAAGAUUUUAGAAAUUAUUUUUGGUUAGGUGUAUGUAUGAUUAGGUAUAUUCGGCCAUAUGAGUAAAUAUAUAGAUGAUGUUAAAUUUGAUUAUGUAUAAUGGGCCAUAUAGAGUACACAUUGUGAUAUUAACUUUGAUUCUCUCUAAUUGAUCAAGUGGGUGAUUAGUAAGGGUGAUUGCCGAAUAUACUAACAUACAUAUGCAUGUGUAAUUGGAUUGUAAAUAUUUAGCAAGGCGGUUAAACUAGUUGAUUUAUUGAUUAAGCUCAAGGAGUUAAAGGAGGAGAAUCGAGCAAAGGCAAAGAAAAGAUCAUCGAGUAGCCGAGUUGGAACCAUCUUACCCAACACAAGUAAGUCAUUAAGCAUAUAUUUUGUAUUAAUUUAAAUGGUCAUAACGUCUAUGUAAUGAUGCUGAAUGGAACGAUAAAUAUAUAUAUACAUGUAUGCAUGGGGUGAUGAAAGUAUUGAAUAAAAAAAAAGAAAAGAGGUGAGAUGAAUUGAGUUGUUGGUUUAGGCACUAAGUGUGUGGGUGUAAACAUUUAUGAUCAUGAGAUUGGCACUAAGUGUGCGGGUUUAAAUUGUACAGCACUAAGUGUGCGAGUUUAAAGUACAUGGCACUAAGUGUGCGCGGUUGAUUAUUAAGCACUAUGUGUGCGAACCCAAUAUAUAUAUUUUCUAUAAAUUAUUUACAUUAAGGGUGCGACUUUACCGAGUCGAUUUUGGACAGCGGAAAAAGGUAAGUGUGCGAACUUGAAAUGCAUGGCACUAAGUGUGUGAGUUUAAAGUGCAUGGCACUAAGUGUGCGUGGUUGAUUACUAAACAUUAUGCGUGCAACCCUAUAUAUAUUUUCUAUAAAUUAUUUACAUGAAGGGUGCGACUUUACCGAGUUAAUUUUGGACAGCGGAAAAGGUAAGUACCUUGAGUUCAUGGCUAAUAGGCGCUAUGUUUAUAUUUGGACUUGAGCUUGGUAAGUUUUGAACCUAUGUGACGAUUAUAGUUGAAGUCAAGUACAUAAGGUUCAUUGUGGAAUAGGUGAAAGUUCGUUUAAUUGUAUGAUUAUAACGAAAAUAAAAUGAUGUAUGAAAGGUCAAUGUAGGACUUGGUAUGAGAUUGAACCAUAGGGUUUAAGGAACUAUGGUAUAGUUCGGUAUGGAUGGAGUACUUAACCUCAUUUCAUUGUUUCCUGUUGUGAUAAUUUUAUUAAUGGAUGGUUGUGGAAUGCUUAUGGCUUACUGAGUUAUAUACUCAUUCGGUGUUUGCUUGUCACCUAUUCUAGGUUUCUUGGACUCGUCUCUUUUUGCGUGAUCGUGCCGUCGUCGAAGUCAUCACACCGGCUAGCAACCUUUGGUAUUUUCUUCUUAGUUGGUCUAGGAGAACAUUUCGGCAUGUAUAGGCUAAUAUGUUUUGUUGAAAUUUGGUAUGUAAACUUUUAGCCAUGCGAAAAUGGCAUAAUGUUCGGUUGAAUUUGGUUCUAAUGUUGGGUCGUAAGUCUUGGUAAUACGAUUUUUAUGCCAUAUGUCAUGGCUGAUUAAUUUUGGUGUUAAGAUUCAUGAUACGGCAAUAGCGUAGUAGGGAGAUGUUUGACAAUGAUUAGCCUUUGGUAUGGCUAGUCAUGAUUAUAAUUUUGUGAUAUGUAUGAUGAAUUACUAGUUAGAUCAAUGAGAAAUCACGAAAUGGACAUAGUUGCUUCAGUAACAGAUGCUGGCAGCAGCAGUGACGUGGGAUUGAAAAAUUACAAAAAUUAUUAGGAAUGGUAUUAAAUAGUGAAUAAAUUAUGUAAUCGAAGCUCGAUGAGUCUAUUUUCAUAUAGAAGCAACGAAACAAUCAUAUGGACAGUAUGUUAAGAGAUAUUCAGGUUCUCGUGAGACAGGGCCAGAACGGUUUCUGGGUUCCCUGUUCCGACUUUGGAAAUUCAUUAUAAAUUAACCAGAGAUAAUUAGGAGCCAUGCCAUAUAUGUAUAGAUUCCUCUCUGAGUAUAUUUUCUAUAGAAACAAACGGAAUCAGUAUUAAAGUUCUGUACUGGGAGAUAUCUAGGUCGUAAUGCGAAAAGGUCAGUGCAGUCGACCCCAGUAACAUGGGAGACUUUGACUAAUAAACUGUACUAAUUGGCCUGACCAAAAAUUAUAGAAAAAAAUAUGUAGAUGGGCAUAUGAGUCUAGUUUCAGGGAAAAUUCACGGAACUGGAUUUCGAGUUCCAGAACUCAAGAUAUGAUUUUUAAAGCAACCAGCACGCAGAUUGGCAGCUUGUCUGGAAAAAUUUUAAUAAGUGGUUUGAAGUCUGUUAACACCUCGUGUUUGACUCCGGUGACGGUCUUGAGUUUGGGGUGUUACAUUUGAUUGGUAUCAGAGCUAUGGUUUAGUCGGUUCUAGGACUACAUAGCACGUAUGAGUCUAGCUAUACAUGCCUUAAUGUUAAUGUUUAAAUGUGUGAUGACUUCUGACGGUUAAAAUUUUUGUUUUGAUUAGUAAAUGGAUCCCGGUGUAGAGAGAACCUUGGCGGAUGACGUUGAAAGUGUAGCGGCUGCUCCUGCACAAGGGACGCCGCCUGUUGAACCUCAGUCAUCUGCGAAUAAUCCAGGUGAGGGGGCUAAACAAGCCUUCUUUACCAUGAUGAAUGAGUGGGUCGUGCAGUAUGCCCGAACCAAUCCGGCUGUCCAACAAUUCCCGAAUUUGAAUAAUCCACCCCAGGAGCCCAUAAUGCCAUCAGUUACUGAUCCUGUGAGGCUGAGUAAGCCACCUGUAGACUUGAUUAGGAAGCGCGGGGCUGAGGAGUUUAGGGCCAUAGUUACUGAUGAUGCUGAAAGGGCCGAGUUCUGGCUUGAUAACACCGUUCGGGUGUUUGAUGAACUGUCAUGCACGCCCGAUGAAUGUCUAAAGUGUGCUAUAUCCUUGUUGCGGGACUCAGCCUACUAUUGGUGGAGGACCCUGAUUUCCAUAGUCCCAAACAAACGAGUUACUUGGGACUUCUUCCAAGCGGAAUUUCGAAAGAAAUAUAUUAGUCAACGGUUCAUCGAUCAAAAGCGUAAGGAAUUCUUGGAACUUAAGCAAGACCGUAUGACAGUAUCUGAAUACGAACAUGAAUUCGUAAGACUCAGUAGGUAUGCCCGGGAGUGUGUAGCUGAUGAGGUUGCUAUGUGCAAAAGAUUCGAAGAAGGAUUGAAUGAAGAUUUAAAGCUACUAGUGGGUAUUUUGGAGAUAAAAGAAUUCGUGACACUAGUCGAACGAGCCUGCAAGGCGGAAGAACUUGGAAAGGGGAAGAAGAAGGCUGAAUUUGAAGCUAGAGACUAUCGUAAAAGAUCGACGGGUAAAGCUCCGUUCUCAGCUGUAAAGAAGUUCAGGGAGGACACUAAUAAGUCGAGGAUGACUGCGGGAAUUUCCAUCAGAGCACGACCAUCGACGGACUCCCGAGCUACUUCGGUAGCUAGUGUGGGCAAUAAUCGUCUAGAGAAACCUGAAUGUCCCCAAUGUGGAAGACGACACAUAGGUGAAUGUUGGGGUAAGUCUAUUAACAGGGCCUGUUACGGAUGCAGUUCGAAGGACCACUUCAUUAGAGAUUGCACGGAACUUGAUGAGAAAAAUAAGAUUCAAGGUGUAAGACCUAGUGGAGUGACAACUAGAGGUAGACCACCGAGAAUUUUAGGAGGUAGGGGUGGUAGUCAGAGAGGGGCCUCUGAUACGGCUGUUCGAGCCGAGAACCGUACUCCUGCUAGAGCAUAUGCCAAUCGCGCACGAGAGGAGGCAUCCUCCCCUGACGUCAUCACUGGUACCUUCACUCUCUUUGAUACUAAUGUGAUUGCAUUGAUUGACCCUGGCUCUACUCAUUCAUAUGUAUGUGAAACCUUAGCAUCCAGAGAGACUCUACCUGUUGAGUCUACUGAGUUCGUAAUUCAGGUGUCAAAUCCCUUGGGUCGUUACGUGCUUGUCGACAAAGUAUGUAAGAAAUGCCCCCUAGUAAUUCGAGAUUCCUGUUUUCUGGCGGACUUGAUGCUUUUGCCGUUUGAUGAAUUUGAUGUUAUUCUUGGUUUGGAUUGGUUGACCGCACAUGAUGCGGUUGUGAAUUACAAAAGCAAGACUAUUGAUUUGAGGAGUGCGAAUAACGAGGUAAUCUGAGUUGAGUCUACGGACUUAAGGGGGUUGCCAGCUGUAAUAUCAGCAAUAUUGGCCCAUAAAUAUGUAAGAAAAGGGUGCGAAGCAUACCUUGCGUAUGUACUUUAUGACAAAGAAUUAGAAAAGAAACCCGAAUCUGUGCCGGUGGUUUGUGAAUACCCGGAUGUUUUUCCUGAAGAAUUACCGGGUUUACCACCUGUUGGGAGGUAGAGUUUGGUAUUGAGCUUGUACCUGGAACUACGCCAAUUUCGAUAGCUCCAUAUAGUAUGGCACCAACCGAGUUAAAGGAAUUGAAAGCUCAAUUGCAAGAGUUGACGGAUAGAGGUUUCGCUCGACCAAGUUUCUCACCUUGGGGUGCACCAGUAUUGUUCGUGAAAAAGAAGGACGGAACCAUGAGGUUGUGCAUUGACUAUCGUCAACUGAAUAAAGUGACGAUAAAGAAUAAAUAUCCGUUACCGUGUAUUGAUGAUUUGUUUGAUCAAUUAAAGGGAGCCUCAGUGUUUUCAAAGAUAGAUUUGAGAUCGGGCUAUUAUCAGUUGCGGAUUCGAGAUUCGGACGUACCCAAAACUGCUUUCAGAACGAGGUACGGUCACUACGAGUUCUUGGUGAUGCCGUUCGGGCUCACUAAUGCCCCUACGGUAUUUAUGGAUUUGAUGAAUCGGAUCUUCAGACCAUAUUUGGAUCGGUUCGUAGUUGUGUUCAUUGAUGACAUCUUGGUCUAUUCAAGAGAUGAGAUCGAACAUGCUGAACACUUGAGAUUAGUGUUGUAAAUUUUGUGGGAUAAGCAGUUAUAUGCGAAGUUCAGUAAGUGUGAGUUCUGGUUAAGAGAGGUUAGCUUCUUGGGUCAUGUGGUAUCCGCAUCGGGUAUUCGAGUUGACCCGAAAAAAAUCUCAGCCAUACUUAACUGGAAACCUCCGAGAAAUGUUACUGAGGUUCGGAGCUUUGUGGGACUCGCCGGUUAUUACCGACGAUUUUUCAAAGGUUUCUCGAUGAUAGCCACACCAAUGACGAAGCUACUUCAAAAGGAUGCUAAGUUCGAAUGGACGGAGAAAUGUCAGAAAGGCUUCGAUCAACUGAAAACUCAUUUGACGGAAGCUCCAAUUUUAGUGCAACCCGAAUCAGGCAAAGAGUUUAUCAUUUAUAGUGACGCAUCCCUACUCGGGUUGGGUUGCGUAUUGAUGCAAGAAGGUCGAGUUGUGGCCUAUGCGUCGAGACAAUUGAAGCCACACGAGAGAAAUUAUCCAACCCAUGAUCUCGAACUAGCCGCCAUCGUAUUUGCCUUGAAAAUAUGGCGACAUUAUUUGUUUGGCGAAAAGUGCCAUGUAUUUUCGGAUCACAAAAGUCUCAAAUAUUUGAUGACUCAAAGAGACUUAAAUCUGCGACAAAGACGUUGGCUUGAGUUGUUGAAAGUUUACGAACUUGUCAUUGAUUACCACCCGGGAAAGGCUAAUGUGGUUGCAGACGCCUUAAGCCGAAAAUCGCUGUUUACUUUACGAGCGAUGAAUGUGCACUUGUCUGUUCUACCCGACAAUGUGUUAGUAGCUAAAUUAAAAGCCAAACCAUUAUUGAUUCAUCAAAUUCGUGAAGCCCAGAAAGUUGAUGAUGAAUUGGUUGCAAAACAGGCUGAGUGUGUUCCGAACAAGGAAUCGGAGUUUCAAAUGGAUGAUGAUGAUUGUUUGAGGUUCAGAAGUCGUUUGUGUGUUCCAAGGAAUUCGGAACUUAUUUCGAUGAUUUUGAAUGAGGCUCAUAGUGGCCGAAUGUCUAUCCACCCGGGUAGUACUAAAAUGUACAACGAUCUGAAACGUCAAUUUUGGUGGCCAGGCAUGAAACGAGACAUUUUUGAAUUUGUUUCAAGGUGUUUGAUAUGUCAACAAGUAAAAGCGGAACAUCAAGUGCCAUCUGGAUUACUUCAGCCAAUCAUGAUACCCGAAUGGAAAUGGGAUCGAGUGACAAUGGACUUUGUGUCUGGGUUACCUUUGACUCAGAGUAAGAAAGACUCGGUAUGGGUUAUUGUUGAUAGAUUGACCAAGUCUGCUCAUUUUAUCCCUGUCCAUACAGAUUUUUCGCUCGAUAAAUUGGCAGAAAUAUACAUCUCCCAAAUUGUUCGAUUGCAUGGUGUACCUAUUUCUAUCGUGUCAGAUAGAGACCCAAGAUUUACAUCGCGAUUUUGGAAGAAAUUGCAAGAAGCUUUGGGUACCAAGCUGCAUUUUAGCACUGCUUUUCACCCCCAAACCGAUGGCCAAUCUGAACGAAUAAUUCAGAUACUCGAGGAUAUGUUGAGAUGUUGCGUCUUAGAGUUCUGUGGUUCAUGCGAAAGAUAUUUGCCCUUGAUUGAAUUUGCUUAUAACAAUAGCUUUCAAUCAAGCAUUAAGAUGGCACCUUACGAGGCUUUAUACGGUCGCAAGUGCCGUACCCCAUUAUUUUGGACUGAACUUAGUGAAAGUAAAAUCUUUGGGGUUGAUUUGAUUAAGGAUGCCGAGCAGAAAGUCCAAGUAAUUCACGAAAGUUUAAAAGCCGCUUCGGAUCGUCAAAAGUCGUAUGCGGAUUUGAAAAGAAAAGACAUUGAAUAUCAGGUUGGAGAUAAAGUAUUUCUCAAAGUUUCACCCUGGAAGAAGGUGCUUAGAUUUGGUCGUCAGGGCAAAUUGAGUCCGAGGUUCAUCGGUCCGUACGAAGUAUCCGAACGAGUUUGACCAGUUGCAUACCGAUUAAUUUUGCCCCCUGAGCUCGAAAAGAUUCACAACGUCUUUCAUGUUUCGAUGCUUCGACGCUAUAGAUCUGAUCCUUCGCACAUAAUUAGUCUGUCGGAGGUUGAAAUUCAAGCCGAUAUGAGUUAUGAAGAAGAGCCGAUGCGUAUCCUAGCUCGUGAAGUGAAGGAGUUGCGAAACAAAAGGGUUCUGUUAGUAAAGGUGUUAUGGCUCAAACACGGGAUCGAGGAAGCUACUUGGGAAACCGAGAGCUCGAUGAAAGAACAAUACCCAAACCUAUUCACCGGUAAGAUUUUCGGGGACGAAAAUUUCUUAAGUGGGGGAGAGUUGUGACAGCCCAAAAUUGACCCUAGUCGGGAAGUGGUUUUGGGACCACAAAAUCGAGUCAUAAAAAUAAUUAAUUUCCAUAUUCUAUGCUUAUUAUGUGUGUACAUGAGUAUGUGGAAGUUUCAUUCUCCAAUUUUGCCAAUUGCAUGAGAAAUUAUUAAAUAGGGAUCGAUAUGAGACAUGGUGAAAAUAUGAUAGGCUAAUUUAAAAUGGUCUAUUAAUGCAUGUUAUGAAAAUGAUGGGUUUGCAUGUCAAAUUACCCAAAAUUUGAGCUAGUGGUUGGCCAUGCUAUGGGUGGAAACAUGUUGGGAAUAUGUUGGCUUAGUGAGGUAUGUUAGGAAAAAAUAAAAUAAGGAGUAUGGGUAAUAAAGAAAUGAAAACAAAAAAAAAUGUGUGGUUGUUUCCCCCCUAUUGCCGUGAGCUAAAGAAAGGAAAAGAAAAAUUUUGUUCAUCCUUUUUCAUCCUCUUUUGACCGAAAAUUCUAAGGGAGGAGGAAGGAGUUCUUGCUUCAUGUUUGGUUUGGAAGAGAAUUAGGAGGAAGUUUGGCCAUGCAUGUAACUAGAUUGAGGUAUGUUUGAUAUUAUUCUUUGAGAUUCAUGUAUAUUUUAAGUUGUAAGUUUGAAAUCUACCUAGCCAUGGUUCAAACUUUGUUAAAUGAUGGAGAUGAUAUUCGGCCAUGAAUGUUACAUUCUUGGUUGGUAUUUUGAUGUCUUUGGUGAUGAGGUAUGGAGAUGGUUGACUUUGAGUUGUUAUUAAGGAGGUGCCGAAUGUGGUCCUUGAAGGGCCUUGAGGAACAAUAUAUGUGGUUUGGGUUACAACAUUCGGCCAUGGUAGUUUGAGGAUUAAGGAUUUUAUUUCUUGUUAAAAUUGGAUGAAUCUUAGUGUGUGAGUGUUUGAACUAACUAAGGAUCAAAUAGAUGCAUGGGUACAAAGUAGGAAGAAUCGGCUACUAUGGUUGAUACUAAUGCCGAAUGUGAAAAUGUUAUAUUAAAUAAUGUAUGUGAUUUGUGUUAAUAAUAUGAAAAAAAUAUAUAUUUAGAUGUAUUGUAAGUGAUUAAGUAUUAAACCAAAAGUUGCUAAAAUUGCCAUUUCUUUAGCCGAAUAUGUGUUUGAUCAAUGAAGAAUUUGUUGGAAAAUAUAGGUGAACUUGGUAAGAGUACUCGGCUUAGUGUAUAAAUGAUAUAAAGAUUUUAGAAAUUAUUUUUGGUUAGGUGUAUGUAUGAUUAGGUAUAUUCGGCCAUAUGAGUAAAUAUAUAGAUGAUGUUAAAUUUGAUUAUGUAUAAUGGGCCAUAUAGGGUACACAUUGUGAUAUUAACUUUGAUUCUCUAUAAUUGAUCAAGUGGGUGAUUAGUAAGGGUGAUUGCCGAAUAUACUAACAUACAUAUGCAUGUGUAAUUGGAUUGUAAAUAUUUAGCAAGGCGGUUAAACUAGUUGAUUUAUUGAUUAAGCUCAAGGAGUUAAAGGAGGAGAAUCGAGCAAAGGCAAAGAAAAGAUCAUCGAGUAGCCGAGUUGGAACCAUCUUACCCAACACAAGUAAGUCAUUAAGCAUAUAUUUUGUAUUAAUUUAAAUGGUCAUAACGUCUAUGUAAUGAUGCUGAAUGGAACGAUAAAUAUAUAUACAUGUAUGCAUGGGGUGAUGAAAGUAUUGAAUAAAAAAAAGAAAAGAGGUGAGAUGAAUUGAGUUGUUGGUUUAGGCACUAAGUGUGUGGGUGUAAACAUUUAUGAUCAUGAGAUUGGCACUAAGUGUGCGGGUUUAAAUUGUACAGCACUAAGUGUGCGAGUUUAAAGUACAUGGCACUAAGUGUGCGCGGUUGAUUAUUAAGCACUAUGUGUGCGAACCCAAUAUAUAUAUUUUCUAUAAAUUAUUUACAUUAAGGGUGCGACUUUACCGAGUCGAUUUUGGACAGCGGAAAAAGGUAAGUGUGCGAACUUGAAAUGCAUGGCACUAAGUGUGUGAGUUUAAAGUGCAUGGCACUAAGUGUGCGUGGUUGAUUACUAAACAUUAUGCGUGCAACCCUAUAUAUAUUUUCUAUAAAUUAUUUACAUGAAGGGUGCAACUUUACCGAGUCAAUUUUGGACAGCGGAAAAGGUCCUUGAGUUCAUGGCUAAUAGGCGCUAUGUUUAUAUUUGGAGUUGAGCUUGGUAAGUUUUGAACCUAUGUGACGAUUAUAGUUGAAGUCAAGUACAUAAGGUUCAUUGUGGAAUAGGUGAAAGUUCGUUUAAUUGUAUGAUUAUAACGAAAAUAAAAUGAUGUAUGAAAGGUCAAUGUAGGACUUGGUAUGAGAUUGAACCAUAGGGUUUAAGGAACUAUGGUAUAGUUCGGUAUGGAUGGAGUACUUAACCUCAUUUCAUUGUUUCCUGUUGUGAUAAUUUUAUUAAUGGAUGGUUGUGGAAUGCUUAUGGCUUACUGAGUUAUAUACUCAUUCGGUGUUUGCUUGUCACCUAUUCUAGGUUUCUUGGACUCGUCUCUUUUUGCGUGAUCGUGCCGUCGUCGAAGUCAUCACACCGGCUAGCAACCUUUGGUAUUUUCUUCUUAGUUGGUCUAGGAGAACAUUUCGGCAUGUAUAGGCUAAUAUGUUUUGUUGAAAUUUGGUAUGUAAACUUUUAGCCAUGCGAAAAUGGCAUAAUGUUCGGUUGAAUUUGGUUCUAAUGUUGGGUCGUAAGUCUUGGUAAUACGAUUUUUAUGCCAUAUGUCAUGGCUGAUUAAUUUUGGUGUUAAGAUUCAUGAUACGGAAAUAGCGUAGUAGGGAGAUGUUUGACAAUGAUUAGCCUUUGGUAUGGCUAGUCAUGAUUAUAAUUUUGUGAUAUGUAUGAUGAAUUACUAGUUAGAUCAAUGAGAAAUCACGAAAUGGACAUAGUUGCUUCAGUAACAGAUGCUGGCAGCAGCAGUGAUGUGGGAUUGAAAAAUUACAAAAAUUAGUAGGAAUGGUAUUAAAUAGUUAAUAAAUUAUGUAAUCGAAGCUCGAUGAGUCUAUUUUCAUAUAGAAGCAACGAAACAAUCAUAUGGACAGUAUGUUAAGAGAUAUUCAGGUUCUCGUGAGACAGGGCCAGAACGGUUUCUGGGUUCCCUGUUCCAAAUUUGGAAAUUCAUUAUAAAUUAACCAGAGAUAAUUAGGAGCCAUGCCAUAUAUGUAUAGAUUCUACUCUGAGUCUAGUUUAUAUAGAAACAAACGGAAUCAGUAUUGAAGUUCUGUACAGAGAGAUAUCUGGGUUGUAAUGCGCAAAGGUCAGUGCAGUCGACCCCAGUAACAUGGGAGACUUUGACUAAUAAACUGUACUAAUUGGUCCAACAAAAAAUUCUAGAAAAAAAUAUGUAGAUGGGCAUAUGAGUCUAGUUUCAGGGAAAAUUCACAGAACUGGAUUUCGAGUUCCAAAACUCAAGAUAUGAUUUUUAAAGCGACCAGCAUGCAGAUUGGUAGCUUGUCUGGAAAAAUUUUAAUAAGUGGUUUGAAGUCUGUUAACACCUCGUGUUCGACUCUGGCGACGGUCUCGAGUUCGGGGUGUUACAACAAAAAUCUCACGUUUCACUCGCAAAGAAAAUUCACACAACUUGGCUUUUACUUCUCUCAAAUGGUCUCACCAAUCACUCUUGCCUUUUUCCACUCGAUUUUUCGCCUCUCGAAGUUCUUCGCAAACUAAGUCGACGAAUCAAUACCGUUUGGCGUCGGCUUACAAAAUUGAUUUGGCUUGGUGGGUAAUGAUGUCGGAAAUGGUAGGCUAUCAAACAAAAUAGAAAUGGUUAAGUGUGGCUAUAUAGAUAUGGUCCUUCGGGCAACAAGCAAUGCUUUUACAAACCCAAAAUGAAUUUCAAUCACUCUUUUUUUUUUCAAUUUCGAUUUUUUUCUUCUUUUUUUUAAUUCUGAAUUUUUUUUCUUCUUUUUUUUCCUUCAAUACUAAAUAAAAAAAAGUAAAAAUAAAUUGAAUACAAACUUUUUUUUUGAAUUUUUUUUUUUGAAUUUUUUUUCAAGUUUUUUUUAUUUUUUUACAAUACCGUAAUACUGAUAACGUCGAUCUUACUCCGAUUCAGCUAGCUCUGAUACCAAAUGAUACGCCCCCGGCCUCGUUGAUGAAUCCGAGUCGUUGUUAUGCCCGAUCGUGAAUUGGAGUAAUACUCGAGGGUGGACGAAAUAGGUUAAGAAAGAAGAGAUAAAGGCUCAAAUUUAGUUCAAAAGGGGUUAUGAAAUGUAUUGAGGAUGAUAGGUGAAUGAAAACCAAGUAUUCAAGUUGAACCAACACAAUAUAAGUGUGUUAACCCGGGACUUAUACGAAUACUUAGGAAAGGUUAAAUGUUGUAUGGAUGGAAAACGAAUAAAAUGGAACCUCGACCCACUAUCAAAGAUGAUAGGAACCUCGGUAUAACUUGAACGCCACACUUUGGGUGCAAAGUGAUAAGUUCGAAAUACAAAAACGGGUUGACGCCACAAGGGUUACUUGAUAAGUCUAACCAGUCCUUGGAGAACAAUGAGAGUUGAAAACAAACUCACAAAGUAAACAAAUUUCAUAUAAGUUUCAAAAAUAUAUUGUCUAACCCUAAAACAAUUACAAAGCAAACUAUUUAUAGCUAAAUUCCUAGGCUAGCCGAAUGGACACUUGAGUAGCUAAAAAGUCAGCUUAUUUUCAAAGCAAAUGAAUUGAAAAUUUCAUGUAGCUUCCUAGAACAUCCCUUGGGGCUUUCUUGAAGAUUCCCAGCUUUGGAGACGUCAAUGGACAGCCAUUUGAUGUCUUCUAAUAGCCUUGAAUUAAUGAGGUGAUGGUUGAGCUGAAAUGGCUGAAUAGAAUUGUUUAGAUUGGCCUAAAUUCGUCCAACUUGUGUGAAAGCUCUUAUGGAUGCUUGGGGAGCUCAAAGGCCAACUUGGGGAAGAGAAAUGGGCUGCCAAAUAAAUGUGAGGAGUCAUAUCUUUUUAAUCUCCAAGAAGAGGCACAUUCCCUCACAUGGACGGCACAUUUAUGGCAUUUGAGAAGAACGAAAAUGGCUCAUGGAAAAGAGGAAUCAGCAACUCUUCAUGGAUCCCUUGCUGUGCAUGAAAAAAAUAAAUCAGCAGCUCAUUAAGUGGACGUUCCUUGCAUGUGGAACAUCACAUUUAAUUCAUGGCUUUGCUGCACAAUAAAUCAGCAAGCAGCUUCUUUAAUUUCGUCCAUUAAAUGGCCACAUGAAAAAGCACAAGCAGCUCCUUAAAUGCUUCCAGCAUCCAUUGAAUGGCCGUCCAUAAUUGCUUUUGCUGCACAUUAAUUCCAGCAAUUUUAAUUUCGGCAACAACCACUUCUUUUAAUGCUGUCCAUGUACCUGCAUGCAACAACCAUUAAUUCAUGUUAAGACAACAUUAAAUGGUUAACUAGACAUAUUUAAUUCGGCAGCCACAAUUAACUUCAACUGGACACCAUUUAAGACAUCAUUAAAUUCGGUUGUAGCAAAACAAAUUAAAUGAUGUAAUGACAAUUAAAUUCAGCUGGACACCUUAAAAACAUACAUUAAAUUCGUCCAAACAUGUAGCAGCAGCAUUAAUUUCGUCCAGACAUAUUUAUAACAUGCAGUGGCAGCAUUAAAUUCGUCAUAAUAAAUAGAUGUAAUAGCCUAGACAUAUUUAUGCUAUGUAUGAAAAUAGGACACAUUAAAAAAAUAUAAAAAUAAAACAUAUUUAAAACACCUAAUUAAAAUGUCCAAUUUUAAUAAAUUUAAUACUAACACUUAGUUGUGCUGGAAUAAAUAAAUAAACUAACUUAUUCAAUUUAUUUUAGCAAAUGAAAAUUUAAGAAUUAAAAUAAACUCAAAUUGAGCAAAAUGAUCCCAUUGAGCUGGAAACAAGCUAAACGAAGCUCAGCGAGAUGCAAUUGAGCUAAUUUAGCUCGCAUGGGUGUGCAAGAAAUACUUAUGGAGCUGAUCGAAAAAUGUGCCCGAGGCGUGGUCGUAUCA
rnacentral:lncRNA from 1 species